rnacentral:lncRNA from 1 species
CACCGUCGAGCCUGUCGGGAUGCGAACACGCUCCAAAUCGAGCCAGCGCCUACCUCCUCCACCGACGCCGCACAAGGAGGUUUGCUGGGNNNNNNNNNNNNNNNNNNNNNNNNNNNNNNNNNNNNNNNNNNNNNNNNNNNNNNNNNNNNNNNNNNNNNNNNNNNNNNNNNNNNNNNNNNNNNNNNNNNNNNNNNNNNNNNNNNNNNNNNNNNAAGGAGGUUUGCUGGGCGGUACGUAUGUUGGAGACAACUUCAUCCAAUCUGUUGUUGUUGUAAGGCGCAUCAAGAAAGCUUCAUACUCCCUCCAAUCUUUCCGUAAUUCAUGUCGCGAGCGCACUACAUUUGUAGUCCUUCUACUUGCAAAGCUCCAGAAAUAAAGCCUUCCUUCCUUCCUUCCUCCUCCUGCCGCCCGCGUUGCCACGGCCACGGCCAGCCUCCGCAACCAACCGUCUCCAAGAGAAGGUCCUGUGCCGUGGACGAGUCCACCCACGAACAGGGCCUCCGCCGCCCCGCUGGUCCGCUUCGCCCCCGAUUCCGCUGCUCACGGCCGUCGGGCUGGUCACUGUGCUAGUCUACUUCAGCCGCCGGCUGGUUGUGGUGGGCGACGCCUCUGCUGCCGACGCUGCUGCUCGUGGGCGACGCCGACACCCUCCAAUCGGCUCCCCCGAUCCUCCGCCUCUGCCUCUGGCACUCUGCCUCUGGUACCUACAACUGAUACAGAGGGAAAUUAAUCCGUAGCUCCCUUGCUGUGAUCGUUUUGAUCAUCAGCGGAGCUCCAGUAGCAGCUCCCCUGUCGCGGUGGAGCACUGCCCAUGCACGUGACAGUGUUGCUGCUCCUAAGAAUAGAGUAAAAUUCAUUUAAAAAUUCAGGUUUCAGUUAAUCUGUACUCCAAACUGUUAAAAUUUACUGUUUUCAGCAAUGCAGCAUUGAGCCCGAACCUUUUUGGCAGUACAAGCAAUGCAGUUUUGGCAGUAAAAAUGGGGUGGAAUAGAACAUGACUAAACUUAAUGACAUCUUUUAACUGAAAUUCACUCAACUGUUACUGAACUAAAACAUGAACCUCAACAUAUGAAUUUCAUUCAGUUUUGUGUGUGCAUGAUUUAGUCAAGUUUAACACAAGACAAGUUUGCCUUGACAAACUUCAAUUUUAACACCACACAAGUUUGCUAUAAACUCAGUGUAAAAUGUUACACAUAAGACUGGCAUAUGGAAGAAUCGAGCUCUGUUAUGACAUGCCAAUACAGUACAAUUCUGAACAUUUAGUAAUUCUAGAGAGGAGCAAAGAAAAUAAAGACGCACAAUUUAGAGAGCAAAAAACUGAGCAUUUCAUGAGAAAAAAUGAAGAUUUCUGAAUAAACAUUUGUAAUGACAAGAUUUACUAGUGUACUCUGAACAAAGAAAAUAAGGAGGUUUGCUGGGCGGUAUGUAUGUUGGAGACAACUUCGUCCAACCUGUUGUUGUAAGGCGCAUCGAGAAAGUUUCAUAUUACUCUGAACAAAGUGUUGUCUAUUUCGACUUUCAGAUACAGUUAGCUGAUACGGGCGAACAAGACAAUAAGGAAAGACAAGUUGUGGCUGCCAAGAUGAGGACGAGGACAGAAAAUAAGGAAAGACAAGUUGUGGCCGCCAAGAUGAGGACGAGGACGCAGCCAUCCAGGAAAGGAAAGAGAGCUGCAUCAGGUCUUAUUCUAACUAGCCCCGAAAAGUUUAAAUCUUUCCUUUUUUUGACAGCAAAUAGACUUUAUUCCUCACAUAAUAGAUAGGAAGUGUCUAGUUUUCAUUCAUCUGUUUUUCAAUUUGGUUUAGGUCGUUUUUUUUGUCCACACAGUUCUUGGCAUGUGUCUUUGUACUAACUUGAGUGCAGACUGUAUAGCCGAAAAAGGGAUUGUUUUCAUUUCAGUUUCAGGUCGGAUUCUCCCUCCCCCUCUUCGACCUUCAAACACAUGUCCCCUAACGGGUCACUUGCAAACCCGUUACUAAUUCAUACCUUGACAUUUUGUGUGGACAUGGACUGAAUGGGAGUGACACUAGCUUUAAUAAAAAGUAACAAAAUAGGAGCCAAGUAAACAUGAUGCUGGCUGCAAACCAGACUCUCGCUUAGCUAUAUGUCCCUUUUAACUUUCCUCUCUUGUUCAAAAUUAGCCACAACAAUAAUAUAAUGGAGACCAAAAAACUGAUGACUGAAUGCUCACCCUGGAAAUGAACAAAAAAAGAUGCACAAAUGGUGCACUAUGUAUCCGUUGGUCAAUAUAGUAGAGUUUCAUACAGCUUUGAACUCAAUCUUGCCUUCGUCUUGAUAUAUUUCGGGAGCACAGCAGCCUCAAGCGCUGGUCCAUCCUGUACAAAACGGACCAAAACUCCCUCACUGAGAUUGUUCAACCUGAUGAAGUCCUCCCACCCAACACCACGGCUGCGGGUCCUCCAGUGUUCUUUCCUAAUCUCGACGAGGAAAUUCCGCCCCUCACAUUCCUCAAAAAGCAUGCAGUCGUCAGUGGCGCAAUUGAAUUCGACCCUUGUAUGACAUGGGAUAAACUGCAGAAAAGAGCAAAAAUAAAUGGAAAAGGAAGAGCAAAAUAUAGGUUAUCCUCAUGCUUGCUGGGGCAUGAGACAUUUGCAGAUUUAUUUAUUUUUUGAUAAGGAGGAAGCGAGCCCCCGGCCUCUGCAUCAAUCGAUGCAUGCAGCCAUAUUAUUAAAGAUAGAUAAAAUAGUAUCUUAGAUCCAAAUAGCUGAAAAAGCUGAAAAUGUAAAAGAAAGCACGAAAAAAGACACAUCCG